AGCGAACGCUGGCGGCAGGCUUAACACAUGCAAGUCGAGCGCCCGUAGCAAUACGGGAGCGGCAGACGGGUGAGUAACACGUGGGAACGUACCCUUUGGUUCGGAACAACCCAGGGAAACUUGGGCUAAUACCGGAUAAGUCCGUGAGGAGAAAGAUUUAUCGCCAAAGGAUCGGCCCGCGUCUGAUUAGCUAGUUGGUGUGGUAACGGCGCACCAAGGCGACGAUCAGUAGCUGGUCUGAGAGGAUGAUCAGCCACACUGGGACUGAGACACGGCCCAGACUCCUACGGGAGGCUG
rnacentral:rRNA from 1 species